rnacentral:tRNA from 1 species
ACUCGCUUGGUGAAAUUUGGUAAACACGAUGGACUUAAAAUCCAUUCCUGAUAGGUUACCGGUUCAAAUCCGGUAGCGAGUA